rnacentral:rRNA from 1 species
GAUGAACGCUGGCGGCGUGCCUAAUACAUGCAAGUCGAGCGAACAGACGAGGAGCUUGCUGCUCUGACGUUAGCGGCGGACGGGUGUGUAACACGUGGAUAACCUACCUAUAAGACUGGGAUCACUUCGGGACACCGGAGAUAAUACCGGAUAAUAUAUUGAACCGCAUGGUUCAAUAGUGAAAGACGGUUUUGCUGUCACUUCUGGAUGGAUCCGCGCCGCAUUAGCUAGUUGGUAGGGUAACGGCUUACCAAGGCGACGAGGCGUAGCCGACCUGAGAGGGUGACCGGCCACAUUGGGACUGAGGUACGGCGCAGACUCCUACGGGAGGCAGCAGUGGGGAAUAUUGCACAAUGGGCGGAAGCCUGAUGCAGCAACGCCGCGUGCGGGAUGACGGCCUUCGGGUUGUAAACCGCUUUCGCCUGUGACGAAGAGUGAGUGACGGUAAUGGGUAAAGAAGCACCGGCUAACUACGUG